rnacentral:rRNA from 1 species
UACGUAGGGGGCAAGCGUUGUCCGGAUUCAUUGGGCGUAAAGAGCGUGUAGGCGGCCAGGUAGGUCGGUUGUGAAAACUGGAGGCUCAACCUUCAGAGGUCGACCGAAACCAUCUGGCUAGAGUCCGGGAGAGGAGAGUGGAAUUCCCCCAAGUAGAGGUGAAAAUCGUAGAUAUGGGGAGGAACACCGGUGGCGAAGGCGGCCAUCUGGACGACAACUGACGCUGAGACGCGAAAGCGUGGGUAGCAAACAGG